UCCUGAGACAAAUCUCCAUAGGCUGCGAAUGUUUUUGCUUAAUUUCUUAUCUUAUAUUUUCCCAGGCUACACAUCUCACAUCCACCAACUUGGCCUCGCUGCUCAAAUGCUCUGUGGAAAACCAAACGUCAUACCCGGUCGUGGUCUGGAAACUUUUCUUUGAAAAAGCUUCUCCUAUGCUAGAUCAGGCUCUGGAGACAUUCGCCACCAUGGUAAAUCCAGUCCCACAAUUUCACAAAGUGACUGUGACUCCCGGUGUAAAUUCUGCAUCAAGCUAAAUCAUUUCUCCAAUUAUAGGCCCCCAACACCAGCAAUCCAUCCUUAUCACAUGCUCUUGAGGCUAUUGGAGAGGUGAUAAUUGCCAACUUCAGCCAAGCACAACUGCAGAGUGAUGGCUUUGUCCGCAGGUGGUUCCACACAAAGAUUCGCCCAUUUUUGGCCUAUCCAUCGCCCAACUUCCUAUUCUGCCUUAGCACCAACAACUUCAGCUGCCUCACGUACCAGACUGUGUAAGCGAAUAUUUGAUAUAUUUCUCCACUGUAAGCACCAUUUCAGAGGAACCUGCAGUGUUCUGGUUGUUUUGAUGUUGAAACCUCUCCUCUCAAAUUUUAGCAUCAAGGCAUUCAGCGGCCAAACGGCAUCCAUGGAGAGAGAAAGCCAGCAAGCAGUCCUCACUCACUUCAUCAAACCAUUCCUUUCAAAAAAUGACUCAUCAGAUCCUGGCUGUGUCUCAUUUAGCGGAGGUAGCAUAGAGUGGCUACAGGCGAACCUUGGCAACUUCUCUGGUUUUGCAACCUUGCAGGAUUUGCAAGCCCUCAAUUCCAACUUCUCUAGUGCUGAUUCGUUGUCAGCGCUCACUCCUGCUCAGCUGGCACAGUUGACACUGAGCUUGGCAGCCUCCAAUGACACAGACCAAAUCGACAUUGUGUUGGAGCGACUUGAGGAGGGCAAUGCUCUGGAAAAUGUAGAUGACUUCCUGACACAGCUGGCAGCAAAUGGAGAGGUCCCUGAUUUCAAACCUGUUGUGAGAGAUCGUCUAAUGAACAGCACCUUCAACAUCAUCAGUCCGCAUUUCCUGCAUUUCACGAGGACCGACUGGAUUCUUUGGUUCCGUGUGAAACUGGUACCUCUCCUCCCAAGUUUCAGUCCAACCAUGCUGCAGAAUGCAACCUCAAACCUAAGCUGUACAAACUACCAUGUCGUCGUGAGUGGGUUGGCCAGAGCUUUCCCUGCAAUGUCGAUGCACACGCGACAAGGAAUCGCAGACGUUAUGGUGGGCUACCUGAGAAGUUCUCCCAGAGUCAUCAACCAGACAGCUUGCAGGCAGGGAAAUCAGAGUGAUUCGGAAUGGCUUGGAGCCAACUUUGGUCCAUUUUCCAAAUACACGACAUACUCUGAGCUCAAAGUCUUCAACCUCUCUGUGGUGAGUAAUAUAUUUUAUUCCUAGUCAUAUUUUAAAACACGAUGAUAUGUAGCUAAGCACAUUAUCCACGUAUUGUACAACUUUUACAU
rnacentral:lncRNA from 1 species